AUGACAAAUAAAUACAUAAAAGGUUUUAAAGAAUGUGUAAGCAAUCAAAGAAAACAAAGGAGUGUUACUUCUCAGUGGACGGACUCUGUCCAAAGUUGUCUGGGAGUGGUUAAAAGCAGGACCAAAGCAUCUGCAGCAAGCCAGCACCCUCCUCUGGGCCUGGGAGCAGCUCAAGGCAAGUUUUGUUAGAAAACCACAGUGUGGCGGGUAGCCUUCUGAGAUUUUCUUACCAAACAGAAAAUCUACCCGCAUUUGGCGCUUGGCAGAUGUUGAUUUCGGAAAAGGUCAAGGUUAGUGAGACCUCACAAAUCAAAAAUUCUUUUGCUAAUUAUGACAAAACUUCACACAGAUGUCUAACAGGAUAAAAUGAUGAAGUGACAACAUUUUAUAUCCAAAAGGUCAAAGGUCAACUUCACUGUGACAUCAUAAGCAAUACUCUGAUAAGUAAGUCAUUUGUCAUGCUGCAUACUACAUGUGCUACAAUUACUGAGCACUAUGUGUGUAUAAGAUUACAGUACGUUACAAUAUGUAUUUAACAGUCAUAAUCACAAAAGUAGCAACAGUAUUAUCAGUAAUAAAGGCUGUAGUAGUAUGUGGGAGAUGGAAAACACUGAUAUAUAAUGUGUAGUUGCUGUUUCAAAUGGAGAUUCUGCUGCUGUAAACUGACGCACGCACACACACACACACACACACACACACACACAGGCUUGUGUCUGUCAGAGUGAAGCCAUUGUUAUUCUAAUUAAUGAGCAGUAUGUAGUUGAGUGAGACAAGGUGACAGCUCAAGUACUUCAAGAUGGCUUUAAAAUUUCUGAAACUAGUCCUUCCUCUUCCCAAACCAUGGGUCCAAUCAUCAAUCUGAAUAUACCACAAGAGAGAUACACUCGUCCCGAAUGCAGAUAUAUAUAGCUUUCAUGUUUGUGGAGUCAAAAAGCGAUCUUAGUCGCAAGUUUACAAUGUCUAGCUCACAGCUGACACAUUUGCUCAUGUUAUUUUCAGAGGCACUAGCUCAUUUCCUGUUGGAUUUAGGUCAGUGGUGUCAAUGAGUGAUUUGUAGGUCUCGAGGAGAUGAAGAAGCCAGUUUUGGUUUGAUCUUUCUACACCGUUCCUAAAGGGCGCAACAGCCAUUUUAGUGUGUCUAGGUAGUGCAAAAAUUGUCAAGAGGUUUUGUGACAUGUCACCUUUAACAGGGCAUAAAAUCCAAACCGUUCGAGUAAUGACAAAGUUGUUCAGAGGAAUUGUUUAGCAGGGCUUGGUCUGUCAUCUGUGCAUGUAUGAAGUCUAUACGAUAAACGGUGUAGGAGGAAAUAUUUUUUUAGUAAGAGAAUUUUUGAAAAAUGACAUCUUACUUUGAAAGGGCAAAUAGCUCACUAACUGUUGAAUUUAGGUCAGUGGUAUCAGCGCGUGAUUUGUAGGUCUUGAUGAGACGAACAAGCCAGUUUUGGUUUUGUCUUUCUACGACAUUCGUACCUUUGGUCGCCCUUCAGCCAAGGUCCCUAAUAAUAAACGCAUCAGAAACAAGAGGGACUUCGUCCUUCGGCCGAGGUCCCUAAUAAUAAACGUACCAUAAACAACAGGGACUUCAUCCUUUGGCCGAGGUCCCUAAUAACACAUAAAUGGUAUCAUUAGUCUUCUUGCUUGAUUCAGUGUUUCUCCUACAUUAAUAUCAGGGGGGCACUGACCUGACCUGACAUAGUUAUUGUUAUGGACAGUGUAAAUAACCAUCAACAGACAGAGAACAGUCAAACACACUGCUCACACAGCAGCGCAGCAUGGCACUGUACACACAGUGGAGCGAGCCUGUGUUGCGUUCAGGCGUUGUCACGUAAAUGACAAAUUACAUCACGCCGUAGCACAACACAGCAGCAUGUCAAGUGGGCUGAAACCGAGCAAAAUUGCUCAGUUUUUCAUUUGUGAUUAUAUAGUUUGUUAUGGAGUCUGUGAUUUCCCCGUGACACUUACAAAUGUUUGCGUAAUUGUGCUUUGUUGUUUUAUGAGGCUCUGGCGGCUUUCAGUAGUCCCUUUGUCUUUAACCCUUUAAAACCGGCGGGAGCGCCUGCGAUCCCAUUUGCAUAUUGAUUUUUAAAUGCUGGUAGAAUUGCAACCAAAUAAGAUAGAGCAAUAAUUCUUUUUGCAUUUAAAACUGGAGGAGUUACUCUAACUUACCAUGCAUUCAUCAUGUCCCAGAGUGCUGUUCCCUUGCACUGAUAGGUUUGUAGAAAAACAGUAAAAAGCACACAGAACAAAAACAUUAUAAUCCUGAUCACGGGUAUUCACAGCACUUCCUAUAUUGGACUAAACGUCAUCACGUUGUGAGCAUGAACUGUCACGUUAUUUUCUUGCGUGUCUUUCUCGCGACACUACCCGCGACAACAAGGAGGGAAGUCAUUUCCUGGGAAAUCUCUUUCUUUCUUUCGCGGUAAAUAUUUCUCCUAGCUUGUAGCCACACACUCGCUCUCGCUCUCGCUUUGCAUUUUAGCCUUUCACAACAACACUUAGACACACUCACCACACACUCACCACACACACACACACACCCGCACACAUAUUCAUGGAACCGCAACAACCCGGACGCGCCAAUCGGCUUUUCUCCUGGUGCGAAGCUUUCGAGCUAAUAACAGUGUCAGAGGAAGAUUCGGUCCACUCAUCUGGUCCGGAUUCUGCCGACAGCGGGGAUGAAGCCGACUUCAUCGAAGGGAGAGAUCCUUCAUAUGACAUGUAUGUAUAUAUUCAUGAAAUGUUGUUUGUUUUUGAUUUAGAGUAAAGUAAAGAAAAUAUAUAUGGAACACAAUUGAAAGCAUUUUGCACUAAAUACGCAUCAUUAUUGUAUUACUCUCAUGUUGAACAUAUCUAACACACUGUGUAACAUCUGUAUGCAGAGUUGAUGAUGAUGAUGAUGAGGAGGAAGUAGGAGUCUCAUCGCCCUGCAUCCCGGAGGGAGGCACAGGGAGAGGCAGAGGGAGAGGAAGGAGGGGAGGAAGGAGGCAGUCUCCAUCAAACAGAGGCUCCAGAGUUGACGACGAUGAUGAUGAGGAGGAAGUAGGGGUCUCCUCGCCCUGCAUCCAGGAGGGAGGCAGAGGGAGAGGAAGGAGGGGAGGAAGGAGACAGUCUCCAUCAAACAGAGGCUCCAGAGUUGACGACGAUGAUGAUGAGGAGGAAGUAGGGGUCUCAUCGCCCUGCAUCCCGGAGGGAGGCAGAGGGAGAGGCAGAGGGAGAGGAAGGAGGGGAGGAAGGAGUCGGUCUCCAGUAAACAGAGGCUCCAGGUCAGAGACACUCCCUGAUGAUGCAGCUGGCUGGAGAACCGAACAGGAGCCUGACAUCUUGCCACAUCCCCUACCACAUUUUCUGCCCAGAAGGAGGCCAGGUGUGCAGCCACCUCUGUUACAGUAUGUGGACAAUCCCUCUCCAUCUGAGCUGUUUGAGAUGUAUUUUGACCGGGCUGCCAUCAAAACACUGUGUAGCAAUACCAAUAGAAAUGCAGCAAAAAAUAUUGCUGCUGGCAAAAAAUUCAAAUGGACUGAGCUCAGAGAGUCCGAAAUGUAUCAGUACAUUGGGAUCACUCUGUACAUGGGGAUUCUCAAGCUGCCAAAGUUGAGGGAUUUUUGGCUUGGCAGUUCCAUUUUCUAGUGCUGCACGAUUUGAUAAAAAUGUGCGAUUGCGAUUAUGGUGGACAAUAUCGCA